GACGAACGCUGGCGGCGUGCUUAACACAUGCAAGUCGAACGGAAAGGCCCUGCUUUUGUGGGGUGCUCGAGUGGCGAACGGGUGAGUAACACGUGAGUAACCUGCCCUUGACUUUGGGAUAACUUCAGGAAACUGGGGUUAAUACCGGUUAGGAGCUCCUGCUGCUGGGUGGGGGUGGGAAAGUUUCGGCGGUUGGGGAUGGACUCGCGGCUUAUCAGCUUGUUGGUGGGGUAGUGGCUUACCAAGGCUUUGACGGGUAGCCGGCCUGAGAGGGUGACCGGCCACAUUGGGACUGAGAUACGGCCCAGACUCCUACGGGAGGCAGCAGUGGGGAAUAUUGCACAAUGGGCGGAAGCCUGAUGCAGCAACGCCGCGUGCGGGAUGACGGCCUUCGGGUUGUAAACCGCUUUCGCCUGUGACGAAGCGUGAGUGACGGUAAUGGGUAAAGAAGCACCGGCUAACUACGUG
rnacentral:rRNA from 1 species